rnacentral:rRNA from 1 species
UUAAGCGACUAAGCGUACACGGUGGAUGCCCUGGCAGUCAGAGGCGAUGAAGGACGUGCUAAUCUGCGAAAAGCGUCGGUAAGGUGAUAUGAACCGUUAUAACCGGCGAUGUCCGAAUGGGGAAACCCAGUGCAAUUCGUUGCACUAUCGUUAACUGAAUACAUAGGUUAACGAGGCGAACCGGGGGAACUGAAACAUCUAAGUACCCCGAGGAAAAGAAAUCAACCGAGAUUCCCCCAGUAGCGGCGAGCGAACGGGGAGCAGCCCAGAGUCUGAAUCAGCUUGUGUGUUAGUGGAACGGUCUGGAAAGUCCGACGGUACAGGGUGAUAGUCCCGUACACCAAAAUGCACAGGCUGUGAACUCGAAGAGUAGGGCGGGACACGUGGUAUCCUGUCUGAAUAUGGGGGGACCAUCCUCCAAGGCUAAAUACUCCUGACUGACCGAUAGUGAACCAGUACCGUGAGGGAAAGGCGAAAAGAACCCCGGCGAGGGGAGUGAAAAAGAACCUGAAACCGUGUACGUACAAGCAGUGGGAGCACCUUCGGGUGUGACUGCGUACCUUUUGUAUAAUGGGUCAGCGACUUAUAUUCUGUAGCAAGGUUAACCGUAUAGGGGAGCCGCAGGGAAACCGAGUCUUAACUGGGCGUUAAGUUGCAGGGUAUAGACCCGAAACCCGGUGAUCUAGCCAUGGGCAGGUUGAAGGUUGGGUAACACUAACUGGAGGACCGAACCGACUAAUGUUGAAAAAUUAGCGGAUGACUUGUGGCUGGGGGUGAAAGGCCAAUCAAACCGGGAGAUAGCUGGUUCUCCCCGAAAGCUAUUUAGGUAGCGCCUCGUGAAUUCAUCUUCGGGGGUAGAGCACUGUUUCGGCUAGGGGGUCAUCCCGACUUACCAACCCGAUGCAAACUACGAAUACCGAAGAAUGUUAUCACGGGAGACACACGGCGGGUGCUAACGUCCGUCGUGAAGAGGGAAACAACCCAGACCGCCAGCUAAGGUCCCAAAGUCAUGGUUAAGUGGGAAACGAUGUGGGAAGGCACAGACAGCCAGGAUGUUGGCUUAGAAGCAGCCAUCAUUUAAAGAAAGCGUAAUAGCUCACUGGUCGAGUCGGCCUGCGCGGAAGAUGUAACGGGGCUAAACCAUGCACCGAAGCUGCGGCAGCGACACUAUGUGUUGUUGGGUAGGGGAGCGUUCUGUAAGCCUGCGAAGGUGGCCUGUGAGGGUUGCUGGAGGUAUCAGAAGUGCGAAUGCUGACAUAAGUAACGAUAAAGCGGGUGAAAAGCCCGCUCGCCGGAAGACCAAGGGUUCCUGUCCAACGUUAAUCGGGGCAGGGUGAGUCGACCCCUAAGGCGAGGCCGAAAGGCGUAGUCGAUGGGAAACAGGUUAAUAUUCCUGUACUUGGUGUUACUGCGAAGGGGGGACGGAGAAGGCUAUGUUAGCCGGGCGACGGUUGUCCCGGUUUAAGCAUGUAGGCUGGUUGUCCAGGCAAAUCCGGAUAAUCAAGGCUGAGGUGUGAUGACGAGGCACUACGGUGCUGAAGUAACAAAUGCCCUGCUUCCAGGAAAAGCCUCUAAGCAUCAGGUAACAUCAAAUCGUACCCCAAACCGACACAGGUGGUCAGGUAGAGAAUACCAAGGCGCUUGAGAGAACUCGGGUGAAGGAACUAGGCAAAAUGGUGCCGUAACUUCGGGAGAAGGCACGCUGGUGUGUAGGUGAAGUCCCUGCGGAUGGAGCUGAGACCAGUCGAAGAUACCAGCUGGCUGCAACUGUUUAUUAAAAACACAGCACUGUGCAAACACGAAAGUGGACGUAUACGGUGUGACGCCUGCCCGGUGCCGGAAGGUUAAUUGAUGGGGUUAUCCGUAAGGAGAAGCUCUUGAUCGAAGCCCCGGUAAACGGCGGCCGUAACUAUAACGGUCCUAAGGUAGCGAAAUUCCUUGUCGGGUAAGUUCCGACCUGCACGAAUGGCGUAAUGAUGGCCAGGCUGUCUCCACCCGAGACUCAGUGAAAUUGAACUCGCUGUGAAGAUGCAGUGUACCCGCGGCAAGACGGAAAGACCCCGUGAACCUUUACUAUAGCUUGACACUGAACAUUGAGCCUUGAUGUGUAGGAUAGGUGGGAGGCUUUGAAGCGUGGACGCCAGUCUGCGUGGAGCCAACCUUGAAAUACCACCCUUUAAUGUUUGAUGUUCUAACGUUGGCCCCUUACCGGGGUUGCGGACAGUGUCUGGUGGGUAGUUUGACUGGGGCGGUCUCCUCCCAAAGCGUAACGGAGGAGCACGAAGGUUAGCUAAUCCUGGUCGGACAUCAGGAGGUUAGUGCAAUGGCAUAAGCUAGCUUGACUGCGAGCGUGACGGCGCGAGCAGGUGCGAAAGCAGGUCAUAGUGAUCCGGUGGUUCUGAAUGGAAGGGCCAUCGCUCAACGGAUAAAAGGUACUCCGGGGAUAACAGGCUGAUACCGCCCAAGAGUUCAUAUCGACGGCGGUGUUUGGCACCUCGAUGUCGGCUCAUCACAUCCUGGGGCUGAAGUAGGUCCCAAGGGUAUGGCUGUUCGCCAUUUAAAGUGGUACGCGAGCUGGGUUUAGAACGUCGUGAGACAGUUCGGUCCCUAUCUGCCGUGGGCGCUGGAGAAUUGAGGGGGGCUGCUCCUAGUACGAGAGGACCGGAGUGGACGCAUCACUGGUGUUCGGGUUGUCAUGCCAAUGGCACUGCCCGGUAGCUAAAUGCGGAAGAGAUAAGUGCUGAAAGCAUCUAAGCACGAAACUUGCCCCGAGAUGAGUUCUCCCUGAGACUUUAAGUCUCCUGAAGGAACGUUAAAGACGAUGACGUUGAUAGGCCGGGUGUGUAAGCGCAGCGAUGCGUUGAGCUAACCGGUACUAAUGAACCGUGAGGCUUAACCUU